CGCGGCCUAUCAGCUUGUUGGUGGGGUAGUGGCCUACCAAGGCGACGACGGGUAGCCGGCCUGAGAGGGUGACCGGCCACACUGGGACUGAGACACGGCCCAGACUCCUACGGGAGGCAGCAGUGGGGAAUAUUGCGCAAUGGGCGAAAGCCUGACGCAGCGACGCCGCGUGGGGGAUGACGGCCUUCGGGUUGUAAACCUCUUUCAGCAGGGACGAAGCGGAAGUGACGGUACCUGCAGAAGAAGCACCGGCCAACUACGUGCCAGCAGCCGCGGUAAUACGUAGGGUGCAAGCGUUGUCCGGAAUUAUUGGGCGUAAAGAGCUCGUAGGCGGUCUGUCGCGUCGGCUGUGAAAACCCGGAGCUCAACUCCGGGCCUGCAGUCGAUACGGGCAAACUGGAGUGUUGCAGGGGAGACUGGAAUUCCUGGUGUAGCGGUGAAAUGCGCAGAUAUCAGGAGGAACACCGGCGGCGAAGGCGGGUCUCUGGGCAACUACUGACGCUGAGGAGCGAAAGCGUGGGGAGCGAACAGGAUUAGAUACCCUGGUAGUCCACGCCGUAAACGUUGGGCGCUAGGUGUGGGGGCCAUUCCACGGUCUCCGUGCCGCAGCUAACGCAUUAAGCGCCCCGCCUGGGGAGUACGG
rnacentral:rRNA from 1 species